CCGAGUUUACAACUCCCAAACCCAAUGUGAACCAUACCAAACUGUUGCCUCGGCGGGGUCACGCCCCGGGUGCGUCGCAGCCCCGGAACCAGGCGCCCGCCGGAGGGACCAACCAAACUCUUUCUGUAGUCCCCUCGCGGACGUUAUUUCUUACAGCUCUGAGCAAAAAUUCCAAAAUGAAUCA
rnacentral:rRNA from 1 species